rnacentral:lncRNA from 1 species
AUUACUUUAACUUUAAAGCCCUGGCUGACCUGGACCUUAUUCUAUUAGACUAGUCUGCCUCAAAGUUUUGAUUACCCUCCUCUUUUUUUGAUUAUCCUCUUAUCUCUGCCUUUUAAAACAAAUUUUUGUAAUUUCUUUUUCAAAUGUAAUGUGAGGUAAUACACAAAUGGAACUUUAGAUCUUUAUUAUUCAUUGCUUUGUAAUGGAUGUGAAAAAUUACAAAGUUUGGUUUAUAGGAAUUAUAGACAUGAGCUACUGUGUUAGAUUUUAGCUUUUAUUUAUGGUAAAUCUUUAUAGUUGUUUGACUGCCAUAGUCUUAAACAUGCUUUUUCAGUGCAGUGUAAAUAGGAAUUGAGACAAGUUGAGUGCAUGCAUAGGUCCUUAUGAAGGUUUAAGCAAUUUAGAUUAAUUUAUAUUAUAAGAAUUAUAAUUAAUAUGUUAUACAUUAUAAGGAUUAAUUUAUAUCCUUGAGGUUUAUAAAACCAUAACUUUUUGUAUCUGAGGCCAGGUCAUCAUUGUUUAAAGGAACUAGUUAGUCUAGGUAAGUCUUAAUUUUUCUUCAGUGAGUUACAAAAAUAAUUUGUGUGCUGUGAAUGCAUGUACAUCUAUCUACACAUGGUUAUGCAAGUGGAGGACAGAGGACAACUUUUUGCAAGGAUAUUAGGGAUCCAACUCUGGUCAGGUCUGUGCAGCAAGCUAGUCACCUGUUGUGCCAUGUAGUUGGUUGUCUUUAGUGAGUGCUAAUAAUAACUCUUGCAUGCCAUAAAGUAACUGUUGGGGCCUUUGGUCAGAAAACCUACAUUUAUGAUAGAAUAAUCUUAGAAUUUGUUUAUUUUUGUUUCUCUUUGUUCUUGUUUUUUUUUAAUAGCUCUUUUCCAGCCAUUAACUCCAGGGUCUCGAGAAUUUGAAGAUGUUUUAAAUAUUCUCCAUUCAUCUUACCUUGAACCAUCAUCAGUAACAUAUUUUAACUAUAGACGAGCUUGCUUGAUACAUAAUGAACUUUUGGAAAAAGAGUUUACAGAAAAGAGAAGAGAAUUGAAGUUUGAUGGUCGUUUAGAUAAGGAACUUUCAGAAUCUUAUGCAUUUCUCAUGGUUGAUCGGUACCAGGUGAGAUAAUUCUGUUUCCAUUGUAAGUGAUUUGUUUCCUAAUUAUUCUUUUGAUAAGGAUAAGGUAAUCUUUUCUUCUGUUUUCCAUGGAGGGGGAGGAGAGUGAGAAUGUUGAAUUCAAGUUGCCAGUCUUGGUGGUGGUGCCUUUACUUACUAAGCAUCCUACUAGUUGUUUAUUUUAUUUCAUUAAUUUGUUUCUUUAUUCACUUUAUAUACCCUUGUUUAUUUUUUAAGAUUUAUCUUUAUUUUUAAUAAAGUAUGUGCGCAUUAGUUUGGGUAAGUGUUGACUCUCCUGAAGCUAGAGUUACAGGCAAUAGUUAGUGAUCCUCCUGACAUGAGUGCCGGGAAUUCAGGGUGAAUUCUCCAGCAGAAUAGUAUGAGCUCUUAACCACUGACCCAUCUCACUAGCUCUUGUUUGUUUGUUUGUUUGUUUGUUUGUUUGUUUUGGGGGGGGAUGCAGGGGGUGACUUGCUAUGCAUUUCAGGUUGUCUUUCCUUGAACUUAGAGGCAUCUUGCUGCCAGUCUUUUGGGGUUAUAGACAUUCCCUGUAACCUAACGUUUUUAUUAAUGUAUAAGUAGAACAAAUAAUUCAGAAGGGCAAAUUAUGUUUUGUAAUUUCUUUUUCAAAUGUAAUUAUUGUUUCUCUGAUCAUGUCUGUUUUUUUCCCCUAGAAUAAAAACUUUUUUUUUUUUAAAUGAAAACAAGACUCUCUUAUAUAAUGUUGAUUCUAUGUUUUUUUAAAAAUGUUUUGCUUGAGGCUAGAGAGGUGGUUCAGACAUUAAGGCACUUGCUGCUCUUCAAGAGGACUUGAGUUCAGUUUCUAGCAACUGACUAUAUUGGUCAGCUCACAAAGCACCUCUAAGUCAGCUCCAGAGAAUCUAUUGCCCCCUUCUGGUGUUUCAGAGCACUGCCACACACAAGUACAUAAUUCACAUAACUAAGAAUAUUUUGCUGGUCUUAAUUCUCUUUUGCAGGUGAGGAUAUCUGACAAGUAGCAUAAAGAAAAAUGAAUUUUUGAUAGGAUAACCUUAGAAAUUUAAGCCAGUUUUACAUUGAUACUUACUAGUUAGCUGAGAUCUGUGUGUGAAAAUUUUGUAAUUAUAGAUUAGAAGAUAAAAUUUUGAAGUUUUAAAAAUUAACUUUUCUUGUUAAUUUGAUUUUAAACUGAAAUGUUUUGUUUACAUAGGUUCAGAGCAUAUGUGAAAAAGGAUUGCAGGUGGGCCAAUCCAAAAUAACAGUUCUUGGCAGUCCUUCCAUGGGUAAUUUUUCUUGUUUCUCAUUUGUACUUAACUAUUAAGUUGCCAUUUAAAAUCCUAAUUGCAGUAUACCUAUAGUCACUAAUUAAAUUAGUAUGCUUUUCAUAUUUUCAAAUAAGGAGACUAGUAUUAAGUUCUGAAAUAAAACACUGGUUUUAUUUCUUUGUUUCUGAUUUUAAAUACUUUGAAUUGAUCAAAUGUUACUAUUUAAAAUGUUUUAUGAUUUUGAAAAAUUAUACUAAUUUUAUAUUUUACUCUGGAUGUUGUCUUUAGUAUUGCUUUUAAAAAGUUGUCAUACCUCCUAUUCCUUUUAUUAUUGGUUAAAUAAUUUGAUUUUUUUAAAAAUUAAACUUGAUUGUUCACAUUCAAAUUAUUUUUUUCUUUUAGGUAUCUAUCUUUGUAGGUAUGCAGAUCUCUUACAGGCUAAUCCUUUGGAGGCUGGGGCAGUAGGCGAUGUUGUUAUUUUUAAAAUCAUGAAGGUAAUUUUAACUUGUAUUUGUACAUAGAAAAGGCAACAUUUAACUUGGACUUUAAUUUUAAGUGACAUGACUUUAGGAGUUUGAGUUAAAAGCCUAUAUUUGGUAGUGUAUGAAGAGUUGCUGUCUUUAGAUUAUCUUCAUUUAAUAAUUAUGUAUGUGUUGGGGUACACAUGCCACAGGAUGCAUGUGAAGAUCAGAGGAAGGCUUGGGGCUUGGGGGUGUUAGUUCUUCCUUCAGCCUUGCGGAUAAUUACAACUCAAAACCUCAGGUUAUCAGGUUUGGUGGUUUUACCUGCUGAGCUAUGUCACUGCCAGCAUCCCCCUCUCUUCCACCUCCAUUUUCCAAAUGAAAGAAUGAAAAAAAAGAGUAACAUGUUGGUGAUGUAAGUAGGUUAACAGUUUAAUAGCACUUGUAUUUCUUCUUUAUAGCAUAUAGUAAAAAUCAUGUUAAGUGGACACUUAAAAAUUUUUUUUAUUUUAGGGUAAAAUAAAGAGUAUUUAUGACCCUCUCAGUGUAAAAAGCUUGGAAUCCAUGUUAAGUAAAAAUGCUUUGGACCCUACCCCAAAACAUGAAUGUCAUGUGUCUAAAAAUGCCAGUAGAAUUACAUCCCUCUUGGCAUAUAGAGCCUAUGAGCUUACUCAGGUAUGUACUUGGAUCCAUUUAAUGUGAAAGAUUUAUGUGUGUCUGUCUGUCUUUUUGUGUGCUGAUACAGGAGCUUGCAUUUGUAGGCUUGGGGUCUGGAAGAAAAGGGGAUCAGAUCAGAGUUGGAGGUACAGGAUACUCACCUGGCUUGUUAAGAGGGUACUGGGACCUAAAUUCUGGUCUUCAUGGUCAAACAAGCAAGCAAUGUUAACCACUGAACCAUCUCAUUGCCGCACCUCUUGGAAUGCCUGCCUUUCAGGGCCUUAGAAAUACCUUGUUGGUGAAUACCAUUUGUUUUUCAAAGUAAAGGUCAAGCCCCUUGGCUAUCUUACUUCACAACUCUAUGUUCUAUGGAUUUAUUGGAAUGCAGACUUAGUAUAUUUUUAAGCCUUAUCUUAAAAACAUAUGUAGUUUUGUUCUCUUUUCUAAAAAAAAUUUUGAGAGGUCUCAGUACAUAUAUUAGAACUCUUUAUGUAGAUCAGGCUGACUUUGAACUCAAUCUGCCUGCCUCUGCCUUUUUAGUGCUGCUAUUAAAGGCCUAUACUGACAAGCGUGGCUUUUUGUUGAUGUUUAUUUCUGGGUUUUUGAGACAAGGUCUCACUAUGUAGUCUUGGCUGGCUUGAAACUCACGAUGUAGGCUGGACUGUUUUCAAAUUCACUGAGAGAUCUCUCUUGGGUCAACCUCCCAAGUGCUGGGAUUAAAGAUGUGUGCCACAACACUAGGCUAUUUUUUGAUCCCAGGUCUUAUUUAGGUCCAUCCUGGUCUCAAACUUGCUAUAUACUGGAAGCUAGUCUUGGGCUCCUCCUUCCUGGUACUCCCUUUUUCCUUGUCUGGCUUUUUUUUUUUUUUUCCUUAUCCUGGGUCUUGUUUUAUAGCUUAGGUUGACCUCAAAAUCAUCAUCCUCUUGUCUCAGCCUCCUGAGGCUUGGGAGAAUCUUGAAUGCUAGGAAAGACUAUUUUUCUUGUUCUCAGCAUUCCUUAGUUGCUUGUAGUUGUAUCUAGGGUUGAAGCCUCAUGAGCUUCCCCCCAUAACAAGUAUGUAAAAGAUAUUUGUUAAAAGUAGUGACCUACUGUCUAUUAAAAUAAUGUUAUUUUAAAAAUUUAUACUUUAAAACAUAAGCAGUCUUUUCGUUCCCCCAAUUUCUCUCAGAUCUUUUCCUCUUCCCUAUUCACCCAAGUCCAUUUUCUUUCUC